GAUGAACGCUGGCGGCGUGCCUAAUACAUGCAAGUCGAGCGAACAGAUAAGGAGCUUGCUCCUUUGACGUUAGCGGCGGACGGGUGAGUAACACGUGGGUAACCUACCUAUAAGACUGGAAUAACUCCGGGAAACCGGGGCUAAUGCCGGAUAACAUUUAGAACCGCAUGGUUCUAAAGUGAAAGAUGGUUUUGCUAUCACUUAUAGUUGGCCCCGCGCCGUAUUAGCUAGGUGGUAAGGUAACGGCUUACCAAGGCAACGAUACGUAGCCGACCUGAGAGGGUGAUCGGCCACACUGGAACUGAGACACGGUCCAGACUCCUACGGGAGGCAGCAGUAGGGAAUCUUCCGCAAUGGGCGAAAGCCUGACGGAGCAACGCCGCGUGAGUGAUGAAGGGUUUCGGCUCGUAAAACUCUGUUAUUAGGGAAGAACAAACGUGUAAGUAACUGUGCACGUCUUGACGGUACCUAAUCAGAAAGCCACGGCUAACUACGUGCCAGCAGCCGCAGUAAAAC
rnacentral:rRNA from 1 species